rnacentral:rRNA from 1 species
CGGACGUGGAUAACCUGCCUCACACAGGGGGAUAACAGUUAGAAAUGACUGCUAAUACCGCAUAAGCGCACGGCAUCGCAUGAUGCAGUGUGAAAAACUCCGGUGGUGUGAGAUGGAUCCGCGUCUGAUUAGGUAGUUGGUGGGGUAACGGCCCACCAAGCCGACGAUCAGUAGUCGACCUGAGAGGGUGACCGGCCACAUUGGGACUGAGACACGGCCCAA